CAUUAAUAUUCAUCAGUACUAUUAUAGCUUUGGGCUAAUGCUAAUGUUGAUGUUUGACCUUGCACUCUGAGGACAAAACGAUCCUGGCCCAUGGCUCACUGUUAUUAUCAAUAAGAGUUUGAAGGAAUAUGUUUGGCGUCUUCAUUAGGUAGGAAUAAAGAACAUGUGUGUGUGUGUGUGUGUGACUUGAGUUUGUAGCAUAUUAUUAUUGUAUUUUAUUUGUGUGAAAAAAUGUGAUUGUUUGUGUGUGUAUGCGUGUAUUUAUGCCUGCAAUUGUACGAUUUUUGUACGUGGGCGCGUGAAUGUUACUUUCUUUGCAUGUGUUUGUUUGUCUGCGUGCAUUCAAGUGUUCGUGUGUGUGAUGGUGUGUAAUGAUGGAAGACAUGUCAUCAGUGUCCCGGGCCGUCCAGAGUCCUCCCCCUCAGAGCUGGUCCAGGCUGAUGGAGCAGGAGGCGGUGGGCUGUCUGGAGAGCAGAUGGACCUGGGUCCAGAGAGGGAGCCAUUAAAAGGCAGACAGGACUCUACCGCCAGCAGGAGAGCUGGCAGUCAGUCGGUCCACCAGCAGAGGUGAAAUUAGAGAGAGAGAGAGAGGGGGGGAGAGAGAGAGAGAGAGAGAGAGAGAGAGAGAGAGGGGGAGAGAGAGAGAGAGAGAGAGAGAGAGAGAGAGAGAGAGAGAGAGAGAGAGAGAGAGAGAGAGAGAGAGAGAGAGAGAUACAGAGAGACAGAGAGAGGGUGGGAUAGAGAGAGGGAGAGAGAGGAGCGCUUCAGGGAAAGAGAUAGUGAGA
ensembl:lncRNA